rnacentral:lncRNA from 1 species
UUCGAUUAAUGAUUUAGUAGAUAUUGAUUUAAACUGCUUAUAUUGAUUUUUGUGUUCAGGUUGAGAUAACUAGGGUAAUUUUCUAGCCAUACAAGUAAGAUAAUAUGCCUUGAGUAUUCAAACCAGGUAAUCAAUUUUUGCAACUUGAUAUUUGAUUCUUGCAAGGAAUAUUGUUGUUUGCCUGAUUAACGAGAUACUCAAGUCACUUUACAAAAAUGGUACGUCUUUGGAGGCCUUCAUAGGGAAAACUGCUGGCGUUGGCAUCGCUGUUGUCAGUUAUAAACGAAAUGAUCUUUAGCGUGAUGGAAAGUUAUCAGCUCUCGUGGUGAUCACUGAUGAUCUUUAGCAUUGCAUAGUGAGUAUGAGAUUGGACCUCCGUCUUUGGUACAAAUUUGGUUCCCGUCCGCCUAAGUAGUAGUAGAGGGAUCAUAUAAUGCUUAUUUGCAUUGUGCUUUCCCUUCUUUGGUGGAAAUUAAUUUCAUUUCCAUUACCAAAUUUGUACAGAAAAUGUAGAAUGCUAAUGGCAUAAUUACUUUUUCCUCCAGAGCAGAGUUUCUAAGCAAACAAAAAUGGCCACUUGUCCUGCAUAGUGCAUGCAGAGGAGAAAAGUAUGUGCUACCAUAUCCUGAUUGUCAAGAGUAAAUGUGUGUAUGGUUUUCACUUAAGGCAUUGUUCUGAAGUGUCUUUGCAACUUCAGAUUGUGAUUUUAGUGUUACUAUUUCUUACAUGUUAGAAGGUGCACAUUAUCUUUCUCAUCCCAUCUUUGCACAUUAGUUAUUAUCUAUAAUCAGAGAGUAAGAAAUGAAAUAUUUAUUUAUUUUUAGCAUCAAAAUGUUAAAUAUGCAUGACAUCAGAUCCAAUGCACAUAUCUAAAUUAAGACAAAUUUGUUUGAUCAGUGGAGAAUUGCAUACCUUUUUUUUAUUCUGUGCCAACACACGGGUAUUUAUCUAGGCGGAUAUAGACAAUGUGUUAUUUAAUGCAUUGUUAUUUAGUUGGCUAUAGUUGGCCGGUACUAAGUUCUAAAAAGCACCCUCCUCCAAGAGCCAAAUUUCUGUAAAAUUUAGAGUGAAUAAAUCUUUGUUCUAUAUGCAUGCAAUUUUUGGCAGCAUCUUUUAGUUUCUUUUACCGGGAGUGUUAGUUUCUUUUAGAAUUUAGAAAUGGUUGUUCAUGUGUUCCUUCUCACCAGAUCGGAGUUGAUUGGUUUGUUUGUUCCUUUUUAUCAGUCAUCUACCAUGUAAUGUUCUAUGUGAGUUUUUGUUUUAGUCCAAGGAUAUAUUUUCUCUCAUGUGCUUUAAUCAUAUGCACACAUGGUUGCGCAUUGGAGUGUGGGUGCAAUAUUAAAACCAGUCGAUCAUUCCUUUGUUUGUUCCUUUCUAUCAGUCAUAUACCAUGGAAUGUUCUAUAUGAGUUUUUGUUUUUGUCCAAGGAUAUAUUUUCUCUCAUGUGCUUUAAUCAUAUGCGCACAUGGUUGCGCAUUGGAGUGUGGGUGCAAUAUUAAAACCAGUCGAUCAUUCCUUUGUUUGUUCCUUUUUAUCAGUCAUCUACCAUGGAAUGUUCCAUAUGAGUUUUGGUUUAGUCCAAGGAUAUAUUUUCUCUCAUGUGCUUUAAUCAUAUGCGCACAUGGUUGCGCAUUGGAGUGUGGGUGCAAUAUUAAAACCAGUCGAUCAUUCCUUUUUAUGAUGAAUUUAAUAAAUUUUAUUUUGAAUGUAGUCUUAAGACAUCUAUUGUAUUUUUAGACUAAAAUUUUGAAUUGUAGGGUCUAUGUCAGUGAUGUGAAGCUUACCUGUUCUAUGAUGUUUUAACAACAGGCCAUCCAUGGUUGCUUGACAGGAAACAGAGAAGUAGCAGGAUGGGUAUAAUCAACUCAGCUGUUGGUUGCAUUGGGAGGUGGCAUGAACAAAGUAAAGGGGAAGAAAGCGAGCUUGGACACUAGGUGGUGGCACCAACCUGCAACUGUUUUGUUUCGGUCAAAGCAGGGGAGGGGUCAGGCAUGAACCAAACAGCUAUGGCUUAUUGCUUUGAGUCUUGCCGCACUAGGCAAGGUUAGAUCUUGUAAUGUCAUUUUCACGAUGCAAUGAUCAAGCUCUAAGAAAUUCUUGCGUACAUGUCUUUCAGUACUAUUUUUUCCCAUGGUUCAUCUGUGUAUGUCAUUUCCGUGAUGCGGUGAUUUUAAUAAUCUUGCUUAAAAUCGUUACUUAUUAGUUGUAACCAUUGUGGUCAAAUAAAGUUGGAAGCUUAAUCUUCAACCUUGUACAUUGUAGCUUUACUGUGAUCAUAGAGGAUAACACAAUGUGAUAUUGUCAUCUACAUGGUGAAUGUAGCCACUAAUACCUCUUUCAGUGUUGUCGAAAUUCAGACUUCAGUUUGUAGGUAAUCUGCUUGUGCACUGAUUUCACUUACAUUUGAGUACAAGCACUUCGGUUUUGAACUCUCAACUAGAGCUGCUCUUCUUUUGUUUUAUAAUAUAGGCAAGAAUAAGUAUCAGGACUAUUGCUAUGGUACCCAUGUCAAGUCUAGCAGUGGAUUAAAAAGUUUACCACGUGAAAUCAUUUUUGUUUGUUGUACAGAUUAUAACCAUUCAAUUGUGUGCUCCAGAGUGGUGGAGUAAGUGAGCUUGGAUGAAGUUCGAAAAGUUAUCUUAUCUCAUACAAAGGUCAAGAUUUCCC